GCGAGCGUUAAUCGGAAUUACUGGGCGUAAAGCGCGCGUAGGCGGUUAUUUAAGUGAGGUGUGAAAUCCCUGGGCUCAACCUAGGAACUGCAUUUCAAACUGGAUAACUUGAGUAUGUCAGAGGGUAUUGGAAUUUCCCCGUGUAGCAGUGAAAAUGCGUAGAUAUGGGAAGGAACAUCAGUGGCGAAGGCGAAUACCUGGGAUAAUACUGACGCUGAGGUGCGAAAGCGUGGGGAGCAAACGGGAUUAGAUACCCUGGUAG
rnacentral:rRNA from 1 species